CCUACGGGUGGCAGCAGUGGGGAAUAUUGCACAAUGGGCGAAAGCCUGAUGCAGCAACGCCGCGUGAGCGAUGAAGGCCUUCGGGUCGUAAAGCUCUGUCCUCAAGGAAGAUAAUGACGGUACUUGAGGAGGAAGCCCCGGCUAACUACGUGCCAGCAGCCGCGGUAAUACGUAGGGGGCUAGCGUUAUCCGGAAUUACUGGGCGUAAGGGGUGCGUAGGUGGUUUCUUAAGUAAGAGGUGAAAGGCUACGGCUCAACCGUAGUAAGCCUUUGAAACUGGGGAACUUGAGUGCAGUAGAGGAGAGUGGAAUUCCUAGUGUAGCGGUGAAAUGCGUAGAUAUAUGGAAGAACACCAGUGGCGAAGGCGGCCGCCUGGCCUGUUGCUGACGCUGAGGCACGAAAGCGUGGGGAGCAAAUAGGAUUAGAUACCCUGGUAGUC
rnacentral:rRNA from 1 species